rnacentral:rRNA from 1 species
AUACGUAGGGAGCGAGCGUUGUCCGGAAUUACUGGGCGUAAAGGGCGCGUAGGCGGCGCUUCAAGUCGUCUGUCAAAUGGGAGGGCUUAACCCUUUUUCGCAGACGAAACUGGAGAGCUUGAGAAGCAGAGAGGCAAACAGAAUUCCUGGUGUAGCGGGGAAAUGCGUAGAUAUCAGGAAGAAUACCAGUGGCGAAGGCGGUUUGCUGGCUGCGUACUGACGCUGAAGCGCGAAAGCCAGGGGAGCAAACGGGAUUAGAUACCCCGGUAGUCCUGGCAGUAAACGAUGUAUGCUGGGUGUGAGACUAGCGAUAGUUUCGUGCCGAAGUUAACGCGAUAAGCAUACCGCCUGGGGAGUACGGUCGCAAGAUUGAAACUCAAAGGAAUUGACGG